GCUUCUGUGGGUUGGCAGUAAAUCGCCCUGUCAUUUUGAUCAUUGUCAUCAAUCGUAACAGGGAGCCGUGGGUUCGAGUCCCACUGGAGGCA